rnacentral:rRNA from 1 species
GCACAAGGGUGGAGCAUGUGGUUCAAUUCGAAGCAACGCGCAGAACCUUACCAGCCCUUGACAUCCCGGUCGCGGACACCAGAGACGGUGUCCUUCAGUUCGGCUGGACCGGAGACAGGUGCUGCAUGGCUGUCGUCAGCUCGUGUCGUGAGAUGUUGGGUUAAGUCCCGCAACGAGCGCAACCCUCGCCUUUAGUUGCCAUCAUUCAGUUGGGCACUCUAGAGGGACCGCCGGCGACAAGCCGGAGGAAGGUGGGGAUGACGUCAAGUCCUCAUGGCCCUUACAUCCUGGGCUACACACGUGCUACAAUGGCGGUAACAGUGGGCAGCCAACUCGCGAGAGUGAGCUAAUCCCAAAAAGCCGCCCCAGUUCAGAUUGCACUCUGCAACUCGGGUGCAUGAAGGUGGAAUCGCUAGUAAUCGCAGAACAGCAGGCUGCGGUGAAUACGUUCCCGGGC